rnacentral:rRNA from 1 species
GAUGAACGCUGGCGGCGUGCCUAAUACAUGCAAGUAGAACGCUGACGCUUGGUGCUUGCACCGAGCGGAUGAGUUGCGAACGGGUGAGUACCGCGUAGGUAACCUGCCUCUUAGCGGGGGAUAACUAUUCGAAACGAUAGCUAAUACCGCAUAAAAGUCGAUAUCGCAUGAUAUUGAUUUGAAAGGUGCAAAUGCAUCACUAAGAGAUGGACCUGCGUUGUAUUAGCUAGUUGGUGGGGUAACGGCGCACCAAGGCGAGGAUACAUAACCGACCUGAGAGGGUGAGCGGCCACGCUGGGACUGGAGGACGGCCCAGAAUCCUACGGGAGGCAGCAGUAGGGGAUCUUCGGCAAAGGGGGCAACCGGGACUGAUCAACGCCGCGUGAGUGAAGAAGGUUGUCGGGUCGUGAAGCUCAGUUGGGAGAGAAGAACGAGUGUGAGAUUUGAAAGUGCACACUGUGACGGUAACUUACCAGAAAGGUACGGCUAACUACGUG